AAUAAAAGCCGUUUCCGGUUGUGCACUUUGAAAAUAAAAGCAGGUGUUUAGACAGUAAGGGUUUUGUGACUUCGCCAUUGUAAAUACUGUAAGUCAGCAACUCUGGUCAAAUGCAGCUCUACGUUCUCUACUCCAGCUAAACGUAUGAACACACUGAAUUUAAACCGCUUCAAUCUGUUGUUGAUAAGGCAAUGUUUUAUAUGUAAAAAAAACUUAAACGGGUUUUCUGCCGAAAUCUAACAAUGACCUAUGGAAAAGUUCCCAAGAACCAUUACUUAAUGGGUGUGUCACAGAUUUAUAACCUGCCUCUUCUGUGAAGACCUUUAUUUUAUAAAGGAAGUCCUGUUUUAAGCUAUUCUCGUUUCCCUUUUUGAUGUACGGCAAGCGUGAAGUUUUUACGUAAUUUACGUGACCACCAGCAGAAACAAGCAAAGGCUGCUGAAAUGUGUGCAGAGAGUCAUAAGGCCCAAUGUUUUAAUAUUUGAAGGAGCGUUAUCGUUUUUCAGAAGAAUCGUUAAUUUAAGGAACCUUUCAUUUCAAACAUAACAAACCGCGGGUGUGCGCUUACCACAGAAAGCAUUCUGUGCGUAGUUUUUCUUUCUUUUGCGUCAAGACAUUUUUUGUGUAAUUUGGGCGAUGCAGAGCCUGUGGGAAAGGCAACGGUGUGUAGAGCCGUUCAUACCGUAUGUCUAGCACUGAAAGGGUUCUUGCACAAUUUUGUACAGUUCCCUGGCCACAAACCUCUGCGUGUCAAUCAAAGAAGAAUUCCACAGAGUUGCAGGGUUUCCAAUUGAUUGGGUGCAUCAAUGGCACCCACAUUCCUAUUGAAUAGGAAGUCAUUUCACAGUAUCAAUGUGCAGGUAACUAAUAUUUCCUGUCCAGAAUCUUUUGGUGUCAAGAAAACAUUACUGUUUCCACUAACUAGGUAAUAUGUGAUGCAUCCCAUCGCAGAUGUUAACGCAAAAUGGCCAUGGUCAGUACAUGAUUCCAAGGUUUAAGGGAGUUAUCACUAUGCCACACGUUUCAACAGGAUAUGUUGAAAUUUACAGUUCUUGUUCUUGGUUUUACUGUAUUGUUUUAUUGUUUUACACAUUUCAAUCACAGGACACUACAAUGGCUACUUGCUGGGGGACAGAGGGUCCCCUUGUCUGCCCUAUUUGAUGUCACCUUACCCUCAAACACAGACACAGUUCAACCAGGCCCACAGCAGAACACGGACCAAGGUGAAGAUAACCUUGGGCAUUCUGAAGUCGAGGUGUCAGUAUCUAAGUGGCCUCAGGGUCAGUCCAGAGAGGGCAUGUGACAUUAUAGUGGCUUGUGUUGUCCUUCACAACAUUGCCACAAUACGAGGAGCAAGCCACCCUCCUUGUCCCACUGAAGAUGAGCAAGAGGAUCCAGUAGUGAACCAAGUAGACCACAGAGAUGGAAGACUCUUAAGACACAUGAUGUGUCAGAAUCACUUUAAAAACGUUUCUGCACCAAAGCAUUGUUCUUUUAUGUCCUGAAAAAUAAAAUAGAAUAUUAUUUACAUUAUUAUUACAAUUUGAAGUGUGGGUGUGUUCAGCAAUGUUGAAAUAAAGUUCUAACCUCAA